CCCACUCAGGGUUUCAAGUCGGGAUCCUCUCUGGCCUCUCAGCCCCAGAGCCUUAAGAGCUGAUGCAACCCUGGCCGGCUCCGGAAGUCCCGCCCCGCCCCGCAAGCGCAACUUCCGGUCCCUCACCGUUGCCAGGCAACCAAUCGACGCCCCGCGAGGAGGGGAGGAGCCAGGAUGCGGGUGGGAAGCCUGCCGGGAAUUGUAGUCCUGGCCUGCCUGGGGUCUCUGACCCGCGGACACCAGACCUGCAAGGAGGGUCACUGGGUCCGACCCCGCCGAUGCCCUUCAGAAAUCUGAGGGGAAAUGGAGAGCCCGAGCCGCGAAACGAUCAGUCAGAGAAGGGAACAAAAGAGCCAUUAUAAAGUGUCAAGGAGCACAAGAUCAAAAAGGACCAAACCAAUCCAGGUUAAGAAAUAUGCUACCUCUCUGAAACCAGAAAGUGCACUAUUUGGAGAAGACACCAUGAAGAUGCCUCCACAGACCACACGCUGCACCAGAAGAUCCAGAGUGAACUUUGGGAUGUGGUGAUUUGAACUGUGUGGGGUUGAAUGCAUUUGUUUUGUAUGUAUAUUCUUAUGCUGAAGGGGACUGCCCCCAAUGGACUUUUUGUCAAUGUGCCUAGCAAUCAUUAUUUUUGCUCUCUUUUCCUUUUAUCCCCAAAUUAUUGUAACUUAAAAGUUGGUUAUGUUUAAAAGAUCCAUUGGAGAGACCAGUCUUCCAUUAGAUCUCAGGGAGGAAUGUAAAUAGAAAUCUGUUACCCUAAAAACUACAUUUCCCAGGAGCCCAUUGACUUCCUAUCAUUCUGUACUUCCUGUAGGCAGGGGGAUAUAUAGGGUGGGGUUUCCGGUCGCUUGCUCUUUACUUCCUGGGUCGUGACAGUGAUGGUAAGAGGGGGUUUUGAAUAGGUUGAUUAGCCAUGGGUAUGUGGUUUUUGUUACCUUUUUAUUCCUCUAUUUAUAAUAAUCAUUAAUAAAUUUCUUAAAAUAUUCA
rnacentral:lncRNA from 1 species